rnacentral:tRNA from 1 species
GCCUUGUUAGCGUAGUAGGUGCGCGUCAAUCUCAUAAUUUGAAGGUCGUGAGUUCAAUCCUCACACAGGGCA